UGCACUCCAGCUGGGCCAUUGCCUUAUCCCCCGGCCUUGCCAUUGUUUCCCCGGCACAGCUCCAACAAGCCUUGAGCGAACGAACGGCUGUGUGAACGGCUGUGUGGUGCUUAGCUGCCGGCUGGGGGAAACCACGACGACAGCAAUGUAGUCAUGUAACGAAAUUAAAGCCCAAACUUGCAGCCCGGUCCUUGUCCUGAAUAGGGAGAGAGGAUCCGGAGCCUGGCAUUUAUACGUGAUAGUUUAUAUGCAGCCAAAGUAAAUACUGCAGUGGGAGGUCAUGGCGCUAGAUUUUGAAAAGUCCGGCAUAAAGAAGAGAUCUCAGAAAAGCAAAUUUAAGCAACAUUAAUGUCAAGUAAAGUCUUUCUGAUUGCUAUAUUCCUUAUCUGUCAUGACUAGACAGAUGAAAAUCCAGGAUGGCAGUUUUGCCUUUUGGGUCAUUUUCUUUUUUUCUUUUAUUUAUUUCUUCUCUUUAUGUUGAUUUAUCUGAUUUUAACAGGCUCUGUACUAGUUUUCCUCACAGAAUGACUAGCAGAAAUAUGACCCUUACACGCCUUUUGUAGUUAAUUAAUAAGGUCAACUCUAACCACUGAACCCCUUGACAGGCUCUUUCUGUUAGCAAUAAGGAGCAAUUGAACCUUAAUCAUCAAAACGAGCUUGUUGAGCCUAUUCCACAAGGUCUCCUGACUCCACACAUGUGAAGUGAAAUCUGCCAGGUGGGGAUCAUUUGACCUUUGCUAUAUAGGAAGCCUGAGGAGUCAUGGGAAGACUUGCCACUCCAGAGGAGUUUGAGGUUCAGGUUACUUAGGGUGCUUUUCUACUGUCGUGGAGAAAUGGACUCAGUGUUCCAAGACAGACUGCUUUUUCUUCGUGUUUUCUGCCAUGUCUGAGAAAUUGUUUUGGAGAAUCUAUGAGCUAUUAACGUCGGCGGUGACUACUCAGAAGAGGAAAACCCUGGUGGUGCUACUUCCCUGUGAAGUUGUAUGACAGUGAGCCAAAUUCAGAAGCAGGCAGAAAUGGACUCAGUGUUCCAAGAUAGACUGCUUUUUCUUCAUGUUUUCUGCCGUCUCUGAGAAACUGUUUUGGAGACUAUAUGAGCUAUUAACAUCAGCGGGGAAUACUCAGAACAGAAAACCCUGGUGGUGCUACUUCCCCGUGAAGUUCUUCGGCAUUUGGUCAAAUUCAGACGCUGGCAGUUGAGUGUUCCUGGGUAAAACAUUUGAUUUGGGAUGGAGUGUGAAAGAGACGCGUGUCCUUGUAUGUGAAGAGGAGGUGAAGGAGCAGCUACUGCAAGGAACACACAAAUCCCUUGCGCCAGACUAACAGGUGGUUGUCUCUGAGCUGGGAGACUGCAUCAGAAACACAGAAUUUCUAGGUUGGAAGAGACCUCCAGGAUCACUGACACUAACA